UAUCGAUCCCUGCCGUGCCGAAGCUAACGCAUUAAGCAUUCCGCCUGGGGAGUACGGUCGCAAGNCUGAAACUCAAAGGAAUUGACGGGAGCCCGCACAAGCGGUGGAGCAUGUGGUUCAAUUCGACGCAACGCGAAGAACCUUACCCAGGCUUGAACAGCCAGUGACCACUCCUGAAAAGGAGCUUCCGCAAGGACACUGGUAGAGGUGCUGCAUGGCUGUCGUCAGCUCGUGUCGUGAGAUGUUGGGUUAAGUCCCGCAACGAGCGCAACCCUUGUCUGCUGUUGCCAUCACGUUAUGGUGGGCACUCUGCAGAGACUGCCGGUGAUAAACCGGAGGAAGGUGGGGAUGACGUCAAGUCAGCAUGGCCUUUAUGUCUGGGGCUACACACGUGCUACAAUGGCAGAUACAAACCGUCGCGAGACCGCCAAGGUGGAGCUAAUCGGAGAAAGUCUGUCUCAGUUCGGAUUGUCGGCUGCAACUCGCCGGCAUGAAGUUGGAAUCGCUAGUAAUCGCGGAUCAGCACGCCGCGGUGAAUACGUUCCCGGGCCUUGUACACACCGCCCGUCACAUCACGAAAGCCGGUUGUACUAGAAGUCGCCACACCAACCCGCAAGGGAGGGAGGCGCCUAAGGUAUGGUCGGUGAUUGGGGUGAAGUCGUAANCAAGGUACC
rnacentral:rRNA from 1 species